ACGUCCAUCUCAUGCACGAAAAUAGAACACUAGCAAGAUAAGCACUCUUUUACUGUGAAACUGCGAAUGGCUCAUUAAAUCAGUUAUCGUUUAUUUGAUAGUACCCUACUACAUGGAUACCUGUGGUAAUUCUAGAGCUAAUACAUGCGCAAAACCCCGACUUCGGAAGGGGUGUAUUUAUUAGAUAAAAAACCAAUGCCCUUCGGGGCUCCUUGGUGAUUCAUAAUAACUUCACGAAUCGCAUGGCCUUGCGCCGGCGAUGGUUCAUUCAAAUUUCUGCCCUAUCAACUUUCGAUGGUAGGAUAGUGGCCUACCAUGGUGGCAACGGGUAACGGGGAAUUAGGGUUCGAUUCCGGAGAGGGAGCCUGAGAAACGGCUACCACAUCCAAGGAAGGCAGCAGGCGCGCAAAUUACCCAAUCCCGAUACGGGGAGGUAGUGACAAUAAAUACUGAUACAGGGCUCUUUUGGGUCUUGUAAUUGGAAUGAGAACAAUCUAAAUCCCUUAACGAGGAACAAUUGGAGGGCAAGUCUGGUGCCAGCAGCCGCGGUAAUUCCAGCUCCAAUAGCGUAUAUUAAAGUUGUUGCAGUUAAAAAGCUCGUAGUUGAACCUUGGGCCCGUCCUGCCGGUCCGCCUCACCGCGAGUACUGGUCCGGAUGGGCCUUUCUUUCUGGGGAAUCCCAUGGCCUUCACUGGCUGUGGCGGGGAACCAGGACUUUUACUGUGAAAAAAUUAGAGUGUUCAAAGCAGGCCUUUUGCUCGGAUACAUUAGCAUGGAAUAAUAGAAUAGGACGUGCGGUUCUAUUUUGUUGGUUUCUAGGACCGCGUAAUGAUUAAUAGGGAUAGUCGGGGGGCGUCAUAUUCAGCUGUCAGAGGUGAAUUCUUGGAUUUGCUGAAACUUACUACUGCGAAAGCUUCGCAAGGAUUGUUUUGCUUAAAU
rnacentral:rRNA from 1 species